CACGUAGGGGGCGAGCGUUGUCCGGAUUUAUUGGGCGUAAAGAGCUCGUAGGCGGUUUGGCAAGUCGGGUGUGAAAUUUCGAGGCUCAACCUCGAAACGCCACUCGAUACUGCCAUGACUGGAGUCCGGUAGAGGAGUGCGGAAUUCCUGGUGUAGCGGUGAAAUGCGCAGAUAUCAGGGGAACACCAACGGCGAAGGCAGCACUCUGGGCCGGUACUGACGCUGAGGAGCGAAAGCGUGGGGAGCAAACAGG
rnacentral:rRNA from 1 species